GCAUACGAGAAAAGUCAUCUUGGCAAUGAGUGGAAAAAAACCCUUUGCUGGUUCUUCGCGUGCCAAUGAGGCAUAGAAGCUAAGCAGCCGAAUUCUGCUAUCCAAAAGUGUGCUAGAGUUCAGCUGAUAAAGAAUGGGAAGAAAAUUACAGCCUUUGUUCCAAAUGAUGGCUGCUUAAAUUUCAUAGAAGAAAACGUAAGUUGGGGUUUGGUUUGCCUAGAAAUUUCAUGUGCGAUUGAUGUCUCCAAAGACUGAUCUAGUGGACUUGUUAUCAAAGAUUUGAUGUUAGGAGACAUUACUGUGGUGGUCUUGCUCACACCUGUAUGCACCAGUCGACACCGGACGAGGUCUUGAUUGCUGGAUUUGGACGGAAAGGCCAUGCAGACGGUGACAUCCCCGGAGUACGGUUCAAGGUGGUGAAGGUUUGUGGUGUGUCCCUGUUGGCACUGUUCAAGGAAAAGGAGAAGCCUCGGUGUUGAGGCUUCGCUGAGUUUUCAGAUGAAUCGAUCGAACUGGCUUUCGAAGAGGUUUUGUGGUUAUGAAUCAUUGAAUGCCGAUCACCUAUUCGAUCUAUUAGAUCGGUUCCCUUCCAUUUUAGUCUCCUUUGAAGAACCCGGUAUUGAUA